UGAAUCGAUUCCAACUAACCACUUCAUAAUAUAGCCAAUUAAAUAACAAAUAAAAAAAUAAUGAGUUAAUGAAAAGUCAUUUUGAAUCUUCAAUUAAACUAGUUUAACCAGCUGCUAAAGACUAUUCUUUAACCCUAUCCUUAAAUUAGAAUUAAAAAAUUUAAUUAGCAAUUUCCCUUGCUAAAGAACUUUAACCCAUUCCGGCUUUCCUCAAAUUGGCAAUACUCAUCAAUUCAUGAAUUCUACUCUAAAAGGUAACAACUUUAAUACAUUUUCUUUCCUUCCCAUUAAUGGCUGUUUAAUUUAUUAUAUUCCUUUUUCUUUAAAAAAAAAAUUAAUAUGUAAUUUUCUUUUUUAUUUGCAAUUAUUUAAUUGCUUGGCUGUGUUAGUUUUUUUUGGAGCUUUUGUAAUUUAGUUUCUUUUAAUAUGUUAUUUCAUAUAUUUUCUUAUAUGUUGGUUUUAAGUUGUUAAAUUUUCAAUUAAACAAUAGAUUUUAUUGAUAUGGUAUAUGAUUAGAUAGCUUUUUUCUUGAGUUUUAGCUACAGUAAUUAUGGUUUUUUUUUUUUAAUUUUCCUUUAAAGUUACCAUUCAAGAAUAUUACAAUGAUAUAUUUGGUUAGAUUUUGUUCACCUGAUAGGUGAAUAAUUCACCUGAAAUUA
rnacentral:misc_RNA from 1 species